rnacentral:rRNA from 1 species
CCUACGGGCGGCAGCAGUGAGGAAUAUUGGUCAAUGGGCGCGAGCCUGAACCAGCCAAGUAGCGUGAAGGAUGACUGCCCUACGGGUUGUAAACUUCUUUUAUAAGGGAAUAAAGUGAGGCACGUGUCCGAUUUUGUAUGUACCUUAUGAAUAAAGCUCGGCUAACUCCGGGCCAACAGCCGCGGUAAUACGGAGGGACCGGGCGUUUUCCGGAUUUUAUGGGUUUAAAGGGUGGGUUGGCGGGAUUUUAAGGUCACGGGGAAAGUUUGUGGCCCAACCAUCGACGUGCCGUUGAAACUGGGGGGCUGGAGUAUGUUUGAGGCAGGCGGAAUGCGUGGUGUAGCGGUGAAAUGCUUAGAUAUCACGCAGAACCCCGAUUGCGAAGGCAGCCUGCCAAGCCAUGACUGACGCUGAUGCACGAAAGCGUGGGGAUCAAACAGGAUUAGAUACCCGGGUAGUC